UUGUAUGAAAAAUUUUACAUCAAGUAGACAGUCAAAUUAGAAGUUACAGCUUAUUAAAAUUCAUUGAUUAGGAUUGGAGCUUAUUAAAAAAAUCUAAAUUGCUUAAAUAUGAAAGCAACAAGGUAAUUGAGGUUUAUGUGUGAUUGAAGCUAUUAAGAAGAGUUUUUUUUAGUAUUUUUGAAUUAAAAUUUGGAUUAUAUUCUUCUCAUAUGGAUGAAAUCUAUUAGGAUUUUUUUUAUUUUUUU
rnacentral:lncRNA from 1 species